UACGAAGGGUGCAAGCGUUACUCGGAAUUACUGGGCGUAAAGCGUGCGCAGGCGGUGAUGUAGACAGAUGUGAAAUCCCGGGCUCACCUGGGAACUGCAUUUGUGACUGCAUCGCUGGAGUGCGGCAGAGGGGGAUGGAAUACCGCGUGUAGCAGUGAAAUGCGUAGAUAUGCGGAGGAACACCGAUGGCGAAGGCAAUCCCCUGGGCCUGCACUGACGCUCAUGCAGAAGACGUGGGGAGCAAACAGG
rnacentral:rRNA from 1 species